AAGAGCGUAAAAAUAAAAAUGGAU
rnacentral:snRNA from 1 species